GUCGGUCGACGAAAUCACUUCUGAAGGUAAGUGCAUAUUAGUACUAACUGAAAGAAGAUGUGCGGAAGCAGGAAUGAGACUGGCCCGUAAGGAACCCGUCUCGAUACCAGAUUUGUUGUACAGUUCAGACGACACAACCACAAAAUGGGUGCAUCGAAAGAUACCGAUUGAGGGAAAUGUAUUGAAUAAACAGUCAUCAGUGACUCCACUUGGGCCUCGCGUCGAGAAGUCCCCAGUACGACUGGGCGGCGCGGUAUCCAGAAGCCAUAGCUCGCAGGAACUAUUCUCGCUCGGUCAGACGAAACAGAGACGCAGGUCACAGCUUUACACAGGUAAUACCCCUCGCCCAUACGCAGGUAUGGACUUCCGCAGCGGUGCGGCAUUCAGUUGGCGGACGACUAUCAGUAGUCGCUUUAGCCGCCGCAGCUAACAGUAGCCAUGAGUAAACUGAUAUCAGUAUUAGUUAGACCUGUAAUCACCGACAGCGGGAUUGUCGGGUUUUAGUUAGUAACAGUGAAGUUCGGUAAAUCGGACCGGACGAGCUAAUCACCAACAGUUAGGAUUCGGAGCCCAAACCGUGGAGAAAGCUUUACAGGAUACAACAAUGUCUGUCUCACCCUCAUUGGGGGGGAUGCUGGGAUUGAACUGGGGCUCCUGGAGGACCCGGUGUGCGGCACACCUUGGACCUUGGACUGCAACAUCCUGCUGUUUGGCGGGCAGCAGAGUGCAGAAAUAGCUGUGUCAGGCUCAGCCCCAGUCCCGCCGCCACAUGAUAAGCAGCCAGGAAAAUGGCAGACAGGCAGUGCAGGCCGGUGCUUUGCGGCGCCCAGUGGUUACACCGGCACCGACCAGCACAGCGCCACACAGUUCUGCACAGGAAACAACGACCGGUGACAAGCAUGGGUUCUGGAGGAGGCGCAGGUGAAUACACAGCGGCGGGGAACCAGCACUCAUCCCUGCAGCAAAGCCCCCAACACACAAGCAGCAGCCACAGAUGCACAGCAGGCUAAAACACCACGCAGCGGCGUGGAAGGCAUGGGUAAUGAACACAUUCGUCCUCUCCAGGGUGAUAAACUGUUACCCCUGUGGUGGGAGAAGGGGUUGCCAUUCCCACCCUAGUUCAGUUCAGCGGCAAUCAUGCCUCUGUGACCAAGCACACAGUGUGAUAGAGCGCAAAGCAGUUGCCCAGCUGGUGGGCUCUGGCACUGCACACGUCUGGCCCAUGUAACCAGGUGCGUGGUCUUCCUGCUGGGGUUCAUUUAGCAGGCAAUGAAGUGUCAUCCCAUCAUUUGGGAUUGUAGUAUCCUGGGUAUCACGGGAUGUAGCAUCCGCCAAUCGGUUCUUUUCCUGCGAUAAGACGUGAUAAAACAAAUUAUAAGACGUGAUACAACAGACAUCGACAUCAACGUCCAUCAUGCAACUGCACUGACCGAGCUAGUCAUGUCUUACAUAUUUGCAGGAAAGAGUGGCAUGACGGGUGAGGACAUGCACGGAGCAGGAAUCAGCUAUCCUGCUGUAACGAAGAAGUCCUGGUCUGCCUGGCCGUGUGUGUCCGCCCACGAUAAGGUGACGCAAUCCACACACAGUGCAGAA
rnacentral:lncRNA from 1 species